rnacentral:rRNA from 1 species
CCUACGGGAGGCAGCAGUGAGGAAUAUUGGACAAUGGGCGCAAGCCUGAUCCAGCCAUGCCGCGUGCAGGAUGACGGUCCUAUGGAUUGUAAACUGUUUUUAUACGAGAAGAAACACCCCUACGUGUAGGGACUUGACGGUAUCGUAAGAAUAAGGAUCGGCUAACUCCGUGCCAGCAGCCGCGGUAAUACGGAGGAUCCAAGCGUUAUCCGGAAUCAUUGGGUUUAAAGGGUCCGUAGGCGGUUUAGUAAGUCAGUGGUGAAAUCUCCCCGCUCAACGGGGAAACGGCCAUUGAUACUGCUAGACUUGAAUUAUUAGGAAGUAACUAGAAUAUGUAGUGUAGCGGUGAAAUGCUUAGAGAUUACAUGGAAUACCAAUUGCGAAGGCAGGUUACUACUAAUGGAUUGACGCUGAUGGACGAAAGCGUGGGUAGCGAACAGGAUUAGAUACCCUGGUAGUCCACGCCGUAAACGAUGGAUACUAGCUGUUGGGUGCAAACUCAGUGGCUAAGCGAAAGUGAUAAGUAUCCCACCUGGGGAGUACGUUCGCAAGAUGAAACUCAAAGGAAUUGACGGNNGAGAGNGCGAGACGACACGAGGGAGAGG